UUGUUGUAAAGUGGUAGGGGAGCAUUCCAACAGGGUAGAAGGUGUGUUGUAAAGCAUGCUGGACUGGUUAGAAAAGAAAAUGUAGGCAUAAGUAACGAUAAUGCGGGCGAGAAACCCGCACACCGAAAGACUAAGGUUUCCACAGCUAUGCUAAUCAGCUGUGGGUUAGUCGGGACCUAAGGCGAACCCGAAAGGGACAGUCGAUGGACAACGGGUUAAUAUUCCCGUACUACUAAUUACUGUGAUGGGGUGACGGAGUGAUGAAAGCGCCGCGAACUGACGGAAUAGUUCGUUGAAGUACCUACCUAUAAGCUGCGCAGGCAAAUCCACGCGGCUUGGGGAAAUACGAUAGUACUCGGAGUCUUCGGACAAAGAGAUAGUGCGCCUAAGGGCUUCCAAGAAAAACCUCUAAACUUCAGGUAAUUAGUACCCGUACCGCAAACCGACACAGGUAGUCGAGGAGAGAAUCCUAAGGUGCUCGAGAGAUUCAUGGCUAAGGAAUUAGGCAAAAUAGACCCGUAACUUCGGGAGAAGGGUCGCCAGCAGCAAUGCUGGCCGCAGUGAAGAGGUCCAGGCGACUGUUUAUCAAAAACACAGGGCUCUGCAAAAUCGUAAGAUGAAGUAUAGGGCCUGACACCUGCCCGGUGCUGGAAGGUUAAGAGGAGAUGUUAUCUUCGGAGAAGCAUUGAAUUGAAGCCCCAGUAAACGGCGGCCGUAACAAUAACGGUCCUAAGGUAGCGAAAUUCCUUGUCGGGUAAGUUCCGACCUGCACGAAUGGUGUAACGAUCUGGACACUGUCUCAGCCAUGAGCUCGGUGAAAUUGUAGUAACGGUGAAGAUGCCGUUUACCCGCAGUGGGACGAAAAGACCCUGUGCACCCUUACUAUAGCUUAGUAUUGACUUUGGAUAAAUGAUGUGUAGGAUAGGUUGGAGACUAUGAAGUGGCGUCGCCAGGCGUUGUGGAGUCAUUGUUGAAAUACAACCCUUUGUUUAUCUGAAGCCUAACCCCGUUUUGCGGGGGACAUUGCUUGGUGGGUAGUUUGACUGGGGUGGUCGCCUCCAAAAGAGUAACGGAGGCUUCUAAAGGUUCCCUCAGUACGCUUGGUAACCGUGCGUAGAGUGCAAUGGCAUAAGGGAGCUUGACUGAGAGACAUACAGGUCGAUCAGGUACGAAAGUAGAGCAUAGUGAUCCGGUGGUUCCGCAUGGAAGGGCCAUCGCUCAAAGGAUAAAAGGUACGCCGGGGAUAACAGGCUGAUCUCCCCCAAGAGCUCAUAUCGACGGGGGGGUUUGGCACCUCGAUGUCGGCUCGUCACAUCCUGGGGCUGGAGAAGGUCCCAAGGGUUGGGCUGUUCGCCCAUUAAAGUGGCACGCGAGCUGGGUUCAGAACGUCGUGAGACAGUUCGGUCUCUAUCUACUGUGGGCGCAAGAAAUUUGAGUGGAUCUGAUUCUAGUACGAGAGGACCGAAUUGGACUAACCUCUAGUGUAUCUGUUGUUCCGCCAGGAGCAUCGCAGAGUAGCUACGUUGGGGGAUAAGCGCUGAAAGCAUAUAAGCGCGAAACCCACCACAAGAUGAGAUUUCUUUUAAGGAUCGUGGGAGAUGACCACGUUGAUAGGCUAUAGAUGUAAAGGCAGUAAUGUCAUAGUCGAGUAGUACUAAUAAUCC
rnacentral:rRNA from 1 species